rnacentral:tRNA from 1 species
UGGGGGGUCGUCUAACGGCAAGACUGCGGACUCUGGGUCCGCCUAUUGGGGUUCGAAUCCCUGUCCCCCAGCCA